rnacentral:rRNA from 1 species
CUGCUCAAUGAAUUUUAAAUAGCUGCAGUAUAAAUAACUGUACAAAGGUAGCAUAAUAAUUUGUUUUUUAAUUGAAAACUAGAAUGAAUGAUUUAAUGAAAUAUAAACUGUAUCAAAUUUAAAUAAUAAAUUUAUUAUUUAAAUAAAAAAAUUUAAAUAAUUUUUAAAAGACGAGAAGACCCUAUAGAAUUUUAAUAAUAAUUUAUUAUAAAUUUAAAUUUAUUUAUUAUAUUAAUUGGGGAAAUUUUAAAAUUUUAAAAAUUUUUAAUUAAAAAAACAUAAAGUUUUGAAUAUUUAUUAUUUUUUAAAAAAAUAAAUUAAAUUACCUUAGGGAUAACAGCAUAAAUUUUUUAGAAAGUUCAAAGUUAUAAAAAAGUUUAUGACCUCGAUGUUGAAUUAAGAU